GACGAACGCUGGCGGCGUGCUUAACACAUGCAAGUCGAACGGAAAGGCCCUGCUUUUGUGGGGUGCUCGAGUGGCGAACGGGUGAGUAACACGUGAGUAACCUGCCCUUGACUUUGGGAUAACUUCAGGAAACUGGGGCUAAUACCGGAUAGGAGCUCCUGCUGCAUGGUGGGGGUUGGAAAGUUUCGGCGGUUGGGGAUGGACUCGCGGCUUAUCAGCUUGUUGGUGGGGUAGUGGCUUACCAAGGCUUUGACGGGUAGCCGGCCUGAGAGGGUGACCGGCCACAUGGGGACUGAGAGACGGCCCAGACUCCUACGGGAGGCAGCAGUGGGGAAUAUUGCACAAUGGGCGGAAGCCUGAUGCAGCAACGCCGCGUGCGGGAUGACGGCUUUCGGGUUGUAAACCGCUUUCGCCUGUGACGAAGCGUGAGUGACGGUAAUGGGUAAAGAAGCACCGGCUAACUACGUG
rnacentral:rRNA from 1 species